rnacentral:rRNA from 1 species
UACAGAGGGGGCAAGCGUUAUUCGGAAUUAUUGGGCGUAAAGGGCGCGUAGGCGGCUUUUCAAGUGACGGGUGAAAUCCCUCGGCUUAACCGAGGAACUGCCUGUCAGACUGGAAGGCUUGAGACCGGGAGAGGUGAGUGGAAUUCCCAGUGUAGCGGUGAAAUGCGUAGAUAUUGGGAGGAACACCUGGGGCGAAAGCGGCGCACUGGACCACAACUGACGCUGAGGCGCGAAAGCUAGGGGAGCAAACAGG